UACGUAGGGGGCUAGCGUUGUCCGGAAUCAUUGGGCGUAAAGCGCGUGUAGGCGGUUCGGUAAGUCUGCUGUGAAAGUCGGGGGCUCAACCCUCGAGUGCCGGUGGAUACUGUCGGACUAGAGUGCGGAAGAGGCGAGUGGAAUUCCUGGUGUAGCGGUGAAAUGCGCAGAUAUCAGGAGGAACACCAAUUGCGAAGGCAGCUCGCUGGGACGUUACUGACGCUGAGACGCGAAAGCGUGGGGAGCAAACAGG
rnacentral:rRNA from 1 species